rnacentral:rRNA from 1 species
UACGUAGGGUGCAAGCGUUGUCCGGAAUUAUUGGGCGUAAAGAGCUCGUAGGCGGUCUGUCGCGUCGGCUGUGAAAUCCCGAGGCUCAACCUCGGGUCUGCAGUCGAUACGGGCAAACUGGAGUGUUGCAGGGGAGACUGGAAUUCCUGGUGUAGCGGUGAAAUGCGCAGAUAUCAGGAGGAACACCGGUGGCGAAGGCGGGUCUCUGGGCCGAUACUGACGCUGAGGCGCGAAAGCUAGGGGAGCGAACAGG